AGACAGGUGCUGCAUGGCUGUCGUCAGCUCGUGUUGUGAAAUGUUGGUUAAGUCCCGCAACGAGCGCAACCCUUAUCCUUUGUUGCCAGCGGUCCGGCCGGGAACUCAAAGGAGACUGCCAGUGAGUAAACUGGAGGAAGGUGGGAUGACGUCAAGUCAUCAUGGCCCUUACGACCAGGGCUACACACGUGCUACAAUGGCGCAUACAAAGAGAAGCGACCUCGCGAGAGCAAGCGGACCUCAUAAAGUGCGUCGUAGUCCGGAUUGGAGUCUGCAACUCGACUCCAUGAAGUCGGAAUCGCUAGUAAUCGUGGAUCAGAAUGCCACGGUGAAUACGUUCCCGGGCCUU
rnacentral:rRNA from 1 species